AUUUGAUGGUGUGGGCAUUUAGCCAAAAGGCCUUGGAAUCUAGUCCAAUACUCAUAGAGACUCUCAUCCUCUCCUUGUUGGACCCCAUAGAUUUGCUUUCUCAAAUU